AGGUCACAAUUGCAAAGUUUUUCUAACUGCAAAAGGAUUUUAUCGCAUCUAAGGAUAACUAGCAAAUCAAAACAAACACAUUACGAGCAGAUGUCUAUUCCUAGGCAACAUUACAUAAAGGUACGUUGAAUAUUAUGUUUUGGUUUUUUAAAUUUCAUGAAACUUGUUCGACUGCGUCCCUUUUUGCUCAGUUGUAUUUUAUGGUUUAAUGUAUUUGACAUUGUUUAUCUGCAAUUUUCUGGUUGGAACUAUGUAAGUCAUUUGGUACCCUCAUAUUUCAAAGGACUCUGAUUUAUGUUAUUCAUGUACCAUUAUCAUGUACCUGCCUAAGUCUAACCAUAUUUAAGUCCACAAAUUUGAGCAUAUGAAGAGUCUCUACUGGGAAUUUUCUGAGUUCCUUACAUUUGCGAGUACCUAUAAAUUUUUAAUAUCAGCAGAUGUCUGUUCCUAGGCAUUUUUGUUGUUUAGGGAAAUUUCACUUAUAUAACAUGUCUCCAAAUAUCAAGUUUCCCAGUUUUGUUUAUAACCUACCAAUAAGCUAACCGUUUGGACUCCAUGUUUGUUAAUUUGUCCAUACAAGUGGUUAUAUUUAUGAUUGUGCUGCCUUGUUCUCCUUAAAUUUUCAGGCUUCAAUGUAUAAUUCGGACAAAUGAAUUCUAUAUAUUCCUGUGAUGCCUUGCCCAAAAACAAAAUAAUAAAAAAUAAAAAAUAAAAAUUGUCGGUGGUGAUUCUCAUCAUAAAUUCCUAUACCUUACAGGCUACUUGGAAUUAAUGUACAAGUUGAUUUAAAGGAAGGUAACGUAUAUGAAAGAAGUAGUAGUGCUAACUUUUUUAAUCUGUUGAAGUGUAGUUAAAGUGAACAUUUCUUUGCACUAUUCACAUGCUUCUUUUCUUCUGUGCUAACUGCUGGAAUACUUAUAUUUUUCAGUUAUAUAGAUUUUCAAAAUAAUAAGAAGAUAUUACGUAUAUUCCUCCGUGAAGAGUCAAGAACUGAGAAAAAUAGGGAUGAAGGAUGUGAGAUUGAUGUCUUGAUGGGCUCACUAAAGUUAAAAUCCAAGGACUUCGGCAUAUUUUUCUCUCUCUUUGGUUAAGAUUCUCUAUAUGAAAUUGAUUGUAAUAGACUUUGUUGGUUAAGAUCUUCUAUAUGAAAUUGAUUGUAAUAGACUUUGUUGGUUAUGAUCUUCUAUAUGAAAUUGAUUGUAAUAGAAUUUGUGACUAGAAAUGGAUUAUAGUUUAUAUUA